UGCUGGGGCCAGGCUCUGGGAGCAGCAGCAUCCCCCUGAAGAGCUCUGUCUGUGUUCCACAGGAACCCUGGCCUACAGCCCUCCAGAGUGGACCCAGCACCAAAGCUACCAUGGCGAGGCAGCAACGAUCUGGUCCCUGGGCCUCCUGCUGUACCAGCUGGUCGUGGGGAAGCACCCGUUCAGGAGGGGCCAGGAGAUCAUCUGGGGGCGCAUCUUGUUCCCAGCACGGCUCUCUCAAGAGUGCCAAGAUGUCAUUAAGCGGUGUUUGUCCAUGCAGCCCUCGGACAGGCCAUCAUUAGAAGAGCUUUUCUGCCAUCCUUGGGUGCAGGGUGCUCCUCGGCCCUAGAAGAUGGGAGAGAUGCAUGUGCACAGUUGGAUCCAGGGGCCUGGCAGGUACCAGCUCCACACAUCUCUUGGCACUCAGUGGCAAAGCAAACCAGACUGGUUUUGUCCUGCCUGUAGCUCUGAGCAGGGGUCAGCAGAAGGGAACAAGCAGCUCUUGGGCGGGAGCUGAGCUGGAGAUCUGGUGUGGCAAGCACUGGUGGCCACCAUCGCCCCGGUUUGUUUGUCUGGUUCAUGGAUGGCUGGGGCCCUGGGCAGAGCCCUGACAGCCUGGUCUGUUCCCAGGGAAGGAGAAGGAGCUCCUGGAGAAGCUGUACCAGGUGGGGCUGCUGCUGGAGACAGCAAAGACAACCUCAAGGACGACAGUCUCUUCCUUGGCCUGGCCAGCUGAAGAAGAUGGACUUGGAUUCUGGCACCUUCUCUAAAGACACACUCCACACCCAAUUUGCAGAGGUGCCACAAGUGGGCCAAAGCUGGUGAGUGGGCCGUGUCCCUGAGGCAGUGCAGUCUGGAGCUGAUGGAUGGAGAAUUGCCUUUCUGCACUCCCAAACCAGAGGAAAAAUCUGUAAGUGGGACUUUGUGUCUUUAAGAAACCCCUGACAGUUUCAAAGGGAAUGUGCAGCUCAUUCACAGGGUGAGAAGGAAGGGCAUCUUCUGAAGGGUUUGGGGUUUGACAGAGGUUAUAUUCCCAGUGCUGCUUGGAGCUGGAAGGGCACAAAGCAAUUUCCCAUUGCUUCAACCACAAUUUAAAAUAACAAUGUUGGAAACAAAGCCCAAAAACUUUUUAAAAAGGCUGCUGAGGUCAGUAAGAUGGAUCCAUGCCAUCAGCACAUUCACAAUGUAAUGUAUGAAAAAAAUAACUGAGUUUUCUUCUUCCAAAGAUCAUUUGCCUCUUAAUACAAAGUCACAAAAGAUUUUUCACUGCACA